AACGAACGCUGGCGGCAUGCCUAACACAUGCAAGUCGAACGAGACCUUCGGGUCUAGUGGCGCACGGGUGCGUAACGCGUGGGAACCUGCCCUUAGGUUCGGAAUAACUCCCCGAAAGGGGUGCUAAUACCGGAUAAUGUCUUCGGACCAAAGAUUUAUCGCCUUUGGAUGGGCCCGCGUUGGAUUAGCUAGUUGGUAGGGUAAAAGCCUACCAAGGCGACGAUCCAUAGCUGGGCUGAGAGGAUGAUCCGCCACACUGGGACUGAGACACGGCCCAGACUCCUACGGGAGGCAGCAGUGGGGAAUAUUGGACAAUGGGCGAAAGCCUGAUCCAGCAAUGCCGCGUGAGUGAUGAAGGCCUUAGGGUUGUAAAGCUCUUUUACCCGGGAUGAUAAUGACAGUACCGGGAGAAUAAGCUCCGGCUAACUCCGUG
rnacentral:rRNA from 1 species